UACGUAGGGGGCAAGCGUUGUCCGGAAUCAUUGGGCGUAAAGGGCUCGUAGGCGGCCAACUAAGUCGGAUGUGAAAUCCCCAGGCUUAACCUGGGAAUUGCAUCCGAUACUGGAUGGCUUGAAUCCGGGAGAGGGAUGCGGAAUUCCAGGUGUAGCGGUGAAAUGCGUAGAUAUCUGGAGGAACACCGGUGGCGAAGGCGGCAUCCUGGACCGGCAUUGACGCUGAGGAGCGAAAGCCAGGGGAGCAAAACGGGG
rnacentral:rRNA from 1 species